GAUGAACGUUGGCGGUGUGCCUAAUACAUGCAAGUCGAACGGAGAUUGUAGCAAUACGGUCUUAGUGGCGAACGGGUGAGUAACGCGUUGGUAACCUGCCCCGAAGCGUGGGAUAACGGUCCGAAAGGACCACUAAUACCACAUGUGAUCCCGAGGAAUAGAUACUUGGGAUGAAAGGAGCAAUUCGCUUCGGGAGGGACCUGCGUCCCAUCAGCUAGUUGGUAGGGUAACGGCCUACCAAGGCGAUGACGGGUAGGGGACCUGAGAGGGUGGCCCCCCACAAUGGAACUGAAACACGGUCCAUACACCUACGGGUGGCAGCAGUAGGGAAUAUUGGUUAAUGUGCGAAAGCGCGAACCAGCAACGCCGCGUGUGCGAUGAAGGCCUUCGGGUCGUAAAGCUACUUUUUGCAGGGAAGCGAAAGUGACGGUACCUGCAGAAAAAGCACCGGCUAACUACGUG
rnacentral:rRNA from 1 species